rnacentral:rRNA from 1 species
UACGUAGGGUGCAAGCGUUGUCCGGAAUUAUUGGGCGUAAAGGGCGCGUAGGCGGACAGUUCAGUCGGGGGUGAAAGCCCGGGGCUCAACCUCGGAAUUGCCUUCGAUACUGGCUGUCUUGAGUAUGAGAGAGGUGUGUGGAACUCCGAGUGUAGAGGUGAAAUUCGUAGAUAUUCGGAAGAACACCAGUGGCGAAGGCGACACACUGGCUCAUUACUGACGCUGAGGCGCGAAAGCGUGGGGAGCAAACAGG